rnacentral:tRNA from 1 species
GGAGGGGUACCCAAGCGGUCAAAGGGGGCAGACUGUAAAUCUGUUGCGAGAGCUUCGUAGGUUCGAAUCCUACCCCCUCCACCA